rnacentral:rRNA from 1 species
ACCCGCUGAACUUAAGCAUAUCAAUAAGCGGAGGAAAAGAAACCAACCGGGAUUGCCUUAGUAACGGCGAGUGAAGCGGCAAAAGCUCAAAUUUGAAAUCUGGUACCUUCGGUGCCCGAGUUGUAAUUUGGAGAGGGCAACUUUGGGGCCGUUCCUUGUCUAUGUUCCUUGGAACAGGACGUCAUAGAGGGUGAGAAUCCCGUGUGGCGAGGAGUGCGGUUCUUUGUAAAGUGCCUUCGAAGAGUCGAGUUGUUUGGGAAUGCAGCUCUAAGUGGGUGGUAAAUUCCAUCUAAAGCUAAAUAUUGGCGAGAGACCGAUAGCGAACAAGUACAGUGAUGGAAAGAUGAAAAGAACUUUGAAAAGAGAGUGAAAAAGUACGUGAAAUUGUUGAAAGGGAAGGGCAUUUGAUCAGACAUGGUGUUUUGUGCCCUCUGCUCCUUGUGGGUAGGGGAAUCUCGCAUUUCACUGGGCCAGCAUCAGUUUUGGUGGCAGGAUAAAUCCAUAGGAAUGUAGCUUGCCUCGGUAAGUAUUAUAGCCUGUGGGAAUACUGCCAGCUGGGACUGAGGACUGCGACGUAAGUCAAGGAUGCUGGCAUAAUGGUUAUAUGCCGCCCGUCUUGAAACACGACCAAGGAGA